CCUACGGGAGGCUGCAGUGGGGAAUAUUGGACAAUGGGGGAAACCCUGAUCCAGCGACGCCGCGUGAGUGAAGAAGUAUUUCGGUACGUAAAGCUCUAUCAGCAGGAAAGAAAAUGACGGUACCUGACUAAGAAGCCGCGGCUAACUACGUGCCAGCAGCCGCGGUAAUACGUAGGGGGUAAGCGUUCUCCGGAUUUACUGGGUGGAAAGGGAUCGUAGACGGCAGCGCAAGUCUGGAGUGAAAUGCCGGGGCCCAACCCCGGAACUGCGCUGGAAACUGUGAAGCUGGAGUGCAGGAAAGGUAAGCGGAAUUCCUGGUGUAGCGGUGAAAGGCGUAGAUAUAAGGAGGAACACCAGCGGCGAAGGCGGCUUACUGGACUGUAACUGACGUUGAGGCUCGAAGGCGUGGGGAGCAAACAGGAUUAGAUACCCCAGUAGUC
rnacentral:rRNA from 1 species